rnacentral:rRNA from 1 species
UUUUUGAAAUUAAUUUAAAGUCUAACCUGCCCACUGAAUUUUAAAUGGCCGCAGUAUUUUAACUGUGCAAAGGUAGCAUAAUCAUUAGUCUUUUAAUUGAAGGCUGGAAUGAAUGGUUGAAUGAAAUAUUAACUGUUUCAUAAAAAUUUAUAUAAAAUUUUAUUUUUUAGUCAAAAAGCUAAAAUUAUAUUAAAAGACGAGAAGACCCUAUAAAUCUUUAUAUUUAUAUAAUUUUAAUUAUAUUGAUUAAUUAAAUUAUAAUUAUUUUAAAUAUUUUAUUGGGGUGAUAUUAAAAUUUAAAAAACUUUUAAUUAAAAUAUACAUAAAUUAAUGAAUUAUUGAUCCAUAAUUAUAUUAUGAUUAAAAAAUUAAGAUACUUUAGGGAUAACAGCGUAAUUUUUUUAAAAAGUUCUUAUUGAUAAAAA